rnacentral:rRNA from 1 species
AUGUGGGUGAUCUCGACAAAUAUCAUUUGCACGAGACAAUGGACGAAUCCAUCCCUUUUUUCCCGUUCAUAUGAAUCGAACUCAGAUGAUGAUGGUCCCGAUUAAGAAGUUGAUGAGGAUGGGUUCACGACGAGGGAGGCCGCAACAUUUAAGAAGGUAUUCCAGCGUGAUCACAAUACACCAUUAUUCAAGGAUCUUAGUCUCGCGGAUGAAGCUGUUGUAGAUGGUGGAAAAUGUAUAUCUCUUGGAGCUAGGCCAAGAUCUCGCCGUGAUUUGGAAGACGGCAAGAACGAGAUAUAUCCCGGUUGUGAGUUUGGAUCCUUCUUGGAAUUGAAGAUGUGGCUUGACAACAACUCGGUUACGCAUUAUCGUCCACAUAGAGUGGCCAACUCGGACGUCAAUGUGCGAUACAAGUUAAAUGUGAAGUGCCAAGAUGUCCAUGUAUUGUGCGUGCAUGGCCAUGGAAAGGAGAUCCCACUUGGCGCAUAG